UGUGCUUCAAGUUCUGCUGGAGAUGCUAAUAUGCUAAGCAUUUUGGGAAGAAGGACAGAUGUUCGGGAUGCAAAUGCCCUUUUUCAGGAUACGCUUGGAUUUGGUCAAAAUGAUUCUCAAAAUUUUGCUAAUAGCAGUGCAGUUUCAGUGAGAACUGAACAUUCUCAGAUCAGUCCCCAGAUGGCCCCCUCCUGGUUUGAUCAGUAUGGUGCCUUUAAAAAUGGGCAGAUAUUACCAUUACAUGAUGCACGGAGAAAUGUCACCGUAAAGACUAUGGAACUUCCUUUCACUGUUGGAAGGCCUUCCAAUAGUUUGCAUGCUCAUGGUCCAGUGGAGCAAGAAAAUGUGAUUGCUGCUGAUGCUAGUCGGCAUAGUCUUCUCCAAAAGGGUUCAACCCCCUCACCACUCUCUUCCCCUCAGUUAAUGCAUCUUGAUACUGUUGAUGUGAGCUUGGCUGCUGUGAGACCAA
rnacentral:misc_RNA from 1 species